rnacentral:rRNA from 1 species
AUUGAACGCUGGCGGCAUGCUUUACACAUGCAAGUCGAACGGUAACAGGCCGCAAGGUGCUGACGAGUGGCGAACGGGUGAGUAAUGCAUCGGAACGUGCCCAGUCGUGGGGGAUAACGCAGCGAAAGCUGUGCUAAUACCGCAUACGAUCUAUGGAUGAAAGCGGGGGACCGUAAGGCCUCGUGCGAUUGGAGCGGCCGAUGUCAGAUUAGGUAGGUGGUGGGGUAAAGGCCUACCAAGCCGACGAUCUGUAGCUGGUCUGAGAGGACGACCAGCCACACUGGGACUGAGACACGGCCCAGACUCCUACGGGAGGCAGCAGUGGGGAAUUUUGGACAAUGGGCGCAAGCCUGAUCCAGCAAUGCCGCGUGCAGGAAGAAGGCCUUCGGGUUGUAAACUGCUUUUGUACGGAACGAAACGGUCUGGGUUAAUACCCUGGGCUAAUGACGGCACCGUAAGAAUAAGCACCGGCUAACUACGUGCCAGCCGCCGCCGUAAGAC